GCCUCGGUGGUGUAGUGGUAGAGGCACACGUCCCCUGAUAGGAUGAAACGCGGGUUCUAUUCCCGCGUGAGGCC